rnacentral:tRNA from 1 species
GCGAAGGUGGCGGAAUUGGUAGACGCACUGGAUUUAGGUUCCAGCGGGGAAACCUGUGCGGGUUCGAGUCCCGCCCUUCGCACCA